rnacentral:rRNA from 1 species
CCCUUAGAUGUUCUGGACCGCACGCGUGCUACACUGAGUGGAUCAGCGGGUCAGGUUGCGCGAAAGUGUUUCCUAAUCUUGAAAUCCGCUCGUGAUGGGGAUUGACGGUUGCAAUUUUCCGUCAUGAACGAGGAAUACCUUGUAAGCGCGGGUCAUCAUCCCGCGCUGAAUACGUCCCUGCCCUUUGUACACACCGCCCGUCGCUCCUACCGAUUGAGUGGUCCGGUGAGGCUUUGGGAUCUGAGCGGAAAGAGCGUUUCGCUGUUUCUGCUCGGAAAACUCAGUCGAACCUUAUCAUUUAGAGGAAGGAGAAGUCGUAACA